AGUGCAGGAUAGUGUGUAUCGGUGUUAUGCUCUUCUACUAUGCAUUUCUAGCCGAAAGUGUUUUCUGCUACAUUAAGUUUGGAGAAAAUGGGCAGUUGGACCCCAAUCUUUUCAUUGGGUAUGUCAACAAUCAUUUUUCCGAUAUUC